rnacentral:rRNA from 1 species
CUACGGGUUGCUGCAGUGGGGAAUAUUGGACAAUGGGGGAAACCCUGAUCCAGCAAUGCCGCGUGUGUGAAGAAGGCCUGCGGGUUGUAAAGCACUUUCGGUUGGGAGGACUGCUUCUAGCACUAAUAUUGUUGGAAGUUGACGUUACCUUCAGAAGAAGCACCGGCUAACUCCGUGCCAGCAGCCGCGGUAAUACGGAGGGUGCAAGUGUUAAUCGGAAUUACUGGGCGUAAAGCGCGCGUAGGCGGCUAGAUCAGUCGGGUGUGAAAGCCCCGGGCUUAACCUGGGAACUGCAUCCGAUACUGUCUAGCUUGAGUACAGGAGAGGAGAGUGGAAUUCCACAUGUAGCGGUGAAAUGCGUAGAUAUGUGGAGGAACACCAAUGGCGAAGGCAGCUCUCUGGCCUGAUACUGACGCUGAGGUGCGAAAGCGUGGGGAGCAAACAGGAUUAGAUACCCUUGUAGUC